GUGGCUCCCACCCCCAGACUGCUUCUUCAUUCCUAACCUUUACCUUGGCAGAUGAAAUAUAAGAUUCAUCAACCACAUUUGACAGCCCAUGGCAGGUUUCCUGUUUUCCAUCGUCCCUCUGCAGGUCACAGACACACAGAACCCAGCCGUGGCAGGCUCAGCCAGGGUCCGGGGCUGCUAACAACGGCUACAUUCCUCCCCCAGGGCCAAGGGAAAUCCUGAGCGCAGGCCAGGGUUGUUUGGUUUUGAGAUGUGCUGGGAUGAAAGGCACCCUGGAAGUGGAAGUGACUGCCACAAAGGCAUCAGAUAUUCACCACCUUCUCGGCUGCCUCAGCACAGCGAGCUUUAUUCUGGGACCUGAGAUCCUGUUCUGAGCUGGUUUUCCCUUCUCGAGGCUCGCUCACCCUCCCUUUAGAGGUGGGGCUUAUUGGGGAUGGAAAAAGGUAAAUGAACAAUGGAAAAACUUCACGGCAAGAUUAGAAAGAUACCUGAGCCUAAUACCCGCCUGAUGUCGUGGGCCACGCCUCCGGGUUACCAGGGGAAGGGAGGAAGCAAACUGUCAUAU
rnacentral:sRNA from 1 species